UAGCAGAAAGACGCACCUGAGUUUCAUCAAACUCAUCAACAGCUACUACAUAACUCUGUCUCCACUUCACAAUGGUGCCAGAUUGUUCCAUGUCUACCAGUGACUUUCCAGCUUUCGUUCCUUGUGACUUAUCUUGUGUUUUUUUAUUCUCUUUUUUGAUCUCCAGUGUGCUUUAUGUGUUUGUUUGAAGCUGUUUGUGCUUGCCUCAAGUGCGGAUUUCUCCGGAAUUCGCAAUUUCCUCUCCAGCUCACCUGUGCUGCCUGCUACGUUCCUGUAACCCAGAAAGACCACUCAUUCCUGCAACUAUCUUUCUACAAGGACUUACUACAGCACCACCUGUCCAUUCCUGCUUCAGUGGCUUCCCACAGUCUCCCUGUUAACUAUUUAUCACCAUCCCUGCCAGGUACUCAGGAGAGUUAGAGUGCCAUCUCUCUCCUCUUCUGAGGAACUCAUGCAGCUAUAUGAGACUUGGAAAGACAAAGAAGAUUUUGAGAAAAACUCUGCAUCUACUGUGGCGAGUCUGGUUACUUCCUUCCAGGGCGAGCUCAUCACGGUUCGGGGGACAUUGAUAAGCCAGCUCACUUCUCCCUCUACUCAACUGCAUACGCUCUUUCAGUUAUUUUAAAGAUGUCACUGUAACAAAUAUCGUGGCACAUUUAAUCAGGAUAACUAAAAGCUGUAGUUAUAAACUCUCCAAAAGAAACAGAAUUAAACGUUUAGCUUCUUAAAUACA